GGAUUGAAAUGGGCGCAGCCUGAUCCAGCACUCCGCGUGGAGGAUGAAGGUCUUCGGAUCGUAAACUCCUGUCAGAUGGGGCGAAGGCUCCAGGGUGAACAAUCCUGGAGCUUGACGGUACCAUCAGAGGAAGCCCCGGCUAACUCCGUGCCAGCAGCCGCGGUAAUACGGAGGGGGCGAGCGUUAUUCGGAAUUAUUGGGCGUAAAGGGCGCGUAGGCGGCCCGGUAAGUCAAAGGUGAAAUCCCUCGGCUCAACUGAGGAACUGCCUUUGAAACUGUCGGGCUUGAGGCCGGGAGAGGGUAGUGGAAUUCCCAGUGUAGCGGUGAAAUGCGUAGAUAUUGGGAGGAACACCAGUGGCGAAGGCGGCUACCUGGACCGGUUCUGACGCUGAUGCGCGAAAGCGUGGGUAGCAAACAGGAUUAGAUACCCUGGUAGUCCACGCUGUAAACGAUGGGUGCUCGGUGUCGCGGGUAUCGACCCCUGCGGUGCCUUAGCUAACGCGUUAAGCACCCCGCCUGGGGAGUACGGUCGCAAGGCUGAAACUCAAAAGAAUUGACGGA
rnacentral:rRNA from 1 species